rnacentral:lncRNA from 1 species
GAAAAAGGAAACAAGUUUGAGAUAUGCUACAAAAGGCUGAAAAAAUAGCUUCUUCACAUGGUUCUAUAACAACUUAACAAGGAAUUGGGUCCACCACCGCCAUUCAUCAUUUCUUUCUUUAAUAUAUACCUUCGAUGCUAAAGAUAAGGUAUUAUUAUCAAAUUUAAAAUAGAUAAAAUAUAAAAUCAUUUUUUUCCCGAAAAAACAGAGCCUAAGCCCAAACAACAAUAACACUAACUAAU